GUGACCUGCGGAGGAUCAUUAACGAAUCUUUAAAGUCGGCCCUUCCAGUGCUGGUGGUCACACAUGUGCACGUUGGGGUCGCAAAUCCACACACCUGUGCAUACUUGACUCUGAGCACCUUNCACCCUCAUAUCAAGGGAGUCCAACCUUGGUUGGACUGGUGCUCGAGUAUUUUCACACACUCUGAAUGGAAUGGAAUGUCUAUUUUGCAUAACAUGCAAAUGAAACAACUUUCAACAACGGAUCUCUUGGCUCUCGCAUCGAUGAAGAACGCAGCGAAAUGCGAUAAGUAAUGUGAAUUGCAGAAUUCAGUGAAUCAUCGAAUCUUUGAACGCACCUUGCACCCUUUGGUUUUCCAAAGGGUACACCCGUUUGAGUGUCAUUGUAAUCUCACCCUCCGACUCAUUUUUGUCGGUGUGUUGUGGAAUUGGAUGCUGCCGUGUUGUGCCGGCUCAUCUGAAAUAUCUGAGUACAUCCUUGAUUUGUGAUGUGUUCGGUGUGAUAAAUCUUCACCGGAAUUGACCUUGUGUCACACUCACUUGACUUAUGGCUCUGUGCUUCCAAUCGUCCCACUGGUGGACAACAUCUGACAUUUUGACCUCAAAUCGGGUGGGACUACCCGCUGAACUUAA
rnacentral:rRNA from 1 species